GGUUGUGGCUUAGUGGCAGAGUACUUACCUCCCACGUGUGAGGCACUGGGUUCAAUCCUCAGCACCA
rnacentral:tRNA from 1 species